UAAAAUGGAGAAGGAAAAGUGGAUGAGUGGAAGGUAAAAGGCAGGUCAAAGGUGAGUUACAAUUGAGUCUUCAGAGUUCAGCAGUUAGUGAAGUAAAGAGAAAAAGAGAAUGUACCAGUCCACCACAGAAGACCCCAGGAAACCCACAGCAGCCUUUGGGUACUUCCUCAGGGGAGGGGGCAAGCAUAAGAAUAACAGGGAGUUUAAAAUCCUGCUAAACUAUUUCUUCGCAAAGCUGUAUUUACUUUCUGAAGUGCCUGCUAUCAGUGCCCUAUAAUCAUAGAAUCAAAAAGGAAGAAAAAUGUUUAUUUUCAUGCAGUU
rnacentral:lncRNA from 10 species